GAUGAACGCUGGCGGCGUGCCUAAUACAUGCAAGUCGAGCGAACAGACGAGGAGCUUGCUCCUCUGACGUUAGCGGCGGACGGGUGAGUAACACGUGGAUAACCUACCUAUAAGACUGGGAUAACUUCGGGAAACCGGAGCUAAUACCGGAUAAUAUAUUGAACCGCAUGGUUCAAUAGUGAAAGACGGUUUUGCUGUCACUUAUAGAUGGAUCCGCGCCGCAUUAGCUAGUUGGUAAGGUAACGGCUUACCAAGGCAACGAUGCGUAGCCGACCUGAGAGGGGGAUCGGCCACACUGGAACUGAGACACGGUCCAGACUCCUACGGGAGGCAGCAGUAGGGAAGCUUCCGCAAUGGGCGAAAGCCUGACGGAGCAACGCCGCGUGAGUGAUGAAGGUCUUCGGAUCGUAAAACUCUGUUAUGAGGGAAGAACAAAUGUGUAAGUAACUAUGCACGUCUUGACGGUACCUAAUCAGAAAGCCACGGCUAACUACGU
rnacentral:rRNA from 1 species